UUAACUCAAAUUUGUAUGGAGUUAGAACGUUUGCCAACGUUUGCCGCUAGGGGCGCUGUUCUAACUGCAUACAAAUAUGAGUAA
rfam:Bombyx mori DNA, contig: Bm_scaf1_contig1342, strain: p50T/Dazao, build 2, whole genome shotgun sequence.